rnacentral:rRNA from 1 species
GAUGAACGCUGGCGGCGUGCUUAACACAUGCAAGUCGAACGGGAUCCAAGGGGUGCUUGCACUUUUUGGUGAGAGUGGCGAACGGGUGAGUAACACGUGAGUAACCUGUCCUUUUCUUUGGGAUAAGCAUUCGAAAGGGUGUUUAAUACCUUAUGUUCUGUCUGCCUCGCAUGGGGUGGGUGGGAAAGGCUUUGGCCGGAUUUGGGUGGGCUCGCGGUCUAUCAGCUUGUUGGUGGGGUGAUGGCUUACCAAGGCUUUGACGGGUAGCCGGCCUGAGAGGGUGGUCGGUCACAGUGGGACUGAGAUACGGCCCAGACUCCUGCGGGAGGCAGCAGUGGGGGAUAUUGCACAAUGGGCGAAAGCCUGAUGCAGCGACGCCGCGUGGGGGAUGAAGGCCUGCGGGUUGUAAACUUCUUUUGCUCUGAACAAGGCAUGCCAGUGGGUGUGUUGAGUGUAGGGGUUGAUUAGCGCCGGCUAACUACGUG